CUCGUUGAGUUUAAGCAUAUAAUUAAGCGAAGGAAAAGAAACUUACAAGCUUUCCCCUAGUAACGGAAAGCGAACCGGGAAGAGCCCAGCAUGAAAAUCGGGUGGCAGCGCCGCCUGAAUUGUAGUUUGUAUAAGCAUCCUUAACGGCGGACUGGGCCCAAGUCCCCUGGAAGGGGGCGCCUGAGAGGGUGGCAGCCCCGUCGGGCCGGGACCUUGCUGCACCACGAGGCAUUGUCGACGAGUUGGGUUGUUUGGGAAUGCAACCCUAAUCGGGUGGUAAAUUCUGUCCAAGGAUAAAUACGGUCGAGAGACCAAUAUCGAACAAGUACCACAAGG
rnacentral:ncRNA from 1 species